rnacentral:rRNA from 1 species
UACGUAGGGACCAAGCGUUGUUCGGAUUUACUGGGCGUAAAGGGCGCGUAGGCGGCGCGGUAAGUCACUUGUGAAAUCUCUGAGCUUAACUCAGAACGGCCAAGUGAUACUGCAGUGCUAGAGUGUGGAAGGGGCAAUCGGAAUCCUUGGUGUAGCGGUGAAAUGCGUAGAUAUCAAGAGGAACACCUGAGGUGAAGACGGGUUGCUGGGCCAACACUGACGCUGAUGCGCGAAAGCCAGGGGAGCAAACGGG